GUGGAAAAGUAGUGAGUACUGAGUCAGAGCGGAGAAAAGUGUCCUGGAGAUUUCCCACUCCUCCCCGACAAGGAGAUCUAGGCAGCGGCACCUGAGGAAGGCCCCAGAUAACCUCAAACAGCCACUCUGUCCAGAAGAACAUUCACAGGGCGCCCACGUGACAAUGCCCUGUCUUGGGCACCAUGGGGCCCAGAGGUGAAUGGCGACUAGUGAAUGAAGUCAUACGAGGGGGACCCCUGGCGACCAUCUUCUAGUCCACAGUACGGGCGAAACGUGAAGACCAAAAAGGCCUCCCGGCCGUCUCCUCCCCAGAUGUGUGAUCCCGUUUCCUCUCUUGCCUCCAUCCAGGCAUCAUUUUCCAAGUGUUCAAUACUGCUUUGAACCCUCCUACGUGAGCUCUAAGCAUUUCCGCGGGACCUUUUGCUGUGUACCUCAUAAAUGAGCACUGUAUUCUAGACAGGUGCCGUGGAGUUUAAAAGUAAUGGAAUAAAUGCAUAUGUUACGCAGUUAUUAAA